GCGCAGCAGUUGCGAAAACUUGUCAAUGCACGAAAGUGUGAACGGGCUACCCCAAGUGCCACCCGCUGAGGGUGGCUUUUCCACAGUCUAAAAAGCUGUGGGAAUAAGGGGAGGGCAAGUCUGGUGUCAGCCGCCGCGGUAAUACCAGCUCCCCGAGUGGUUGGGACGAUUAUUGGGUCUGAAGCGUCCGUAGCCGGCCGGAAAAGUUCCCCGUUAAAUCUGGCGAUCCAAUCGUUGGGCUGCGGGGAAUACUCUUCGGCUUGGGGGCGAGGGAGGUCGGCGGUAGUCCCGGGGUAGGGGCGAAAUCCUAUAAUCCCGGGAGGACCACCAGUGGCGAAGGCGGCCGACUAAAACGCGCCCGACGGUGAGGGACGAAAGCUGGGGGAGCGAACGGGAUUAGAUAUGAAGUUGAGUUUUUACCAGCUUCACUAGAUACCCCGGUAGUCC
rnacentral:rRNA from 1 species